UUGAUGCAAUGGCAAAACAAGAAAACUUGUU
rnacentral:piRNA from 1 species